CCUACGGGCGGCUGCAGUGGGGAAUAUUGCACAAUGGGCGCAAGCCUGAUGCAGCCAUGCCGCGUGUGUGAAGAAGGCCUUCGGGUUGUAAAGCACUUUCAGCGGGGAGGAAGGCGGUGAGGUUAAUAACCUCAUCGAUUGACGUUACCCGCAGAAGAAGCACCGGCUAACUCCGUGCCAGCAGCCGCGGUAAUACGGAGGGUGCAAGCGUUAAUCGGAAUUACUGGGCGUAAAGCGCACGCAGGCGGUCUGUCAAGUCGGAUGUGAAAUCCCCGGGCUCAACCUGGGAACUGCAUUCGAAACUGGCAGGCUAGAGUCUUGUAGAGGGGGGUAGAAUUCGAGGUGUAGCGGUGAAAUGCGUAGAGAUCUGGAGGAAUACCGGUGGCGAAGGCGGCCCCCUGGACAAAGACUGACGCUCAGGUGCGAAAGCGUGGGGAGCAAACAGGAUUAGAUACCCGAGUAGUC
rnacentral:rRNA from 1 species